rnacentral:rRNA from 1 species
GACGAACGCUGGCGGCGUGCUUAACACAUGCAAGUCGAGCGGUAAGGCCCUUCGGGGUACCCGAGCGGCGAACGGGUGAGUGACACGUGAGUAAUCUGCCCAUCACUUCGGGAUAACUCCGGGAAACCGGUGCUAAUACCGAAUAUGACCACUUCAGGCAUCUGAUGGUGGUGGAAAGUUCCGGCGGUGAUGGAUGAGCUCGCGGCCUAUCAGCUUGUUGGUGGGGUAGUGGCCUACCAAGGCUUCGACGGGUAGCCGGCCUGAGAGGGUGACCGGCCACACUGGGACUGAGACAUGGCCCAGACUCCUACGGGAGGCAGCAGUGGGGAAUAUUGGACAGUGGGCGAAAGCCUGAUCCAGCAACGCCGCGUGAGGGAUGACGGCCUUCGGGUUGUAAACCGCUUUCAGCAGGGACGAAGCGCAAGUGACGGUACCUGCAGAAGAAGCACCGGCCAACUACGUG